CGCGAGUUGGCCGGCGGCUCCGGCCAGGGCGGCCGGCACCCGCUGCCCGACGUGGCGCGGUUCGGCGCCGCGAUGCGCGC
rnacentral:tRNA from 5 species